rnacentral:rRNA from 1 species
UGGGAUAAGCGCUGGAAACGGCGUCUAAUACUGGAUACGACCGACCCUCGCAUGGGGUGUUGGUGGAAAGAUUUAUCGGUGGUGGAUGGACUCGCGGCCUAUCAGCUUGUUGGUGGGGUAAUGGCCUACCAAGGCGACGACGGGUAGCCGGCCUGAGAGGGCGACCGGCCACACUGGGACUGAGACACGGCCCAGACUCCUACGGGAGGCAGCAGUGGGGAAUAUUGCACAAUGGGCGAAAGCCUGAUGCAGCGACGCCGCGUGAGGGAUGACGGCCUUCGGGUUGUAAACCUCUUUCAGCAGGGAAGAAGCUUUUGUGACGGUACCUGCAGAAGAAGCACCGGCUAACUACGUGCCAGCAGCCGCGGUAAUACGUAGGGUGCGAGCGUUGUCCGGAAUUAUUGGGCGUAAAGAGCUUGUAGGCGGUUUGUCGCGUCUGCUGUGAAAAUUCAGGGCUUAACCCUGGACGUGCAGUGGGUACGGGCAGACUAGAGUAUGGUAGGGGAGACUGGAAUUCCUGGUGUAGCGGUGGAAUGCGCAGAUAUCAGGAGGAACACCGAUGGCGAAGGCAGGUCUCUGGGCCAUUACUGACGCUGAGAAGCGAAAGCAUGGGGAGCGAACAGGAUUAGAUACCCUGGUAGUCCAUGCCGUAAACGUUGGGCGCUAGGCGUGGGUCUCAUUCCACGAGAUCCGUGUCGCAGCUAACGCAUUAAGCGCCCCGCCUGGGGAGUACGGCCGCAAGGCUAAAACUCAAAGGAAUUGACGGGGGCCCGCACAAGCGGCGGAGCAUGCUGAUUAAUUCGAUGCAACGCGAAGAACCUUACCAAGGCUUGACAUGCACCGGAUCGCCUCAGAGAUGGGGUUUCCCUUUGGGCUGGUGCACAGGUGGUGCAUGGUUGUCGUCAGCUCGUGUCGUGAGAUGUUGGGUUAAGUCCCGCAACGAGCGCAACCCUCGUUCUAUGUUGCCAGCACGUGAUGGUGGGGACUCAUAGGAGACUGCCGGGGUCAACUCGGAGGAAGGUGGGGAUGACGUCAAAUCAUCAUGCCCCUUAUGUCUUGGGCUUCAAGCAUGCUACAAUGGCCGGUACAGAGGGUUGCGAAACCGUGAGGUGGAGCGAAUCCCAAAAAACCGGUCUCAGUUCGGAUUGGGGUCUGCAACUCGACCCCAUGAA